UGGGGAAUAUUGCACAAUGGGCGAAAGCCUGAUGCAGCAACGCCGCGUGAGUGAUGAAGGUCUUCGGAUUGUAAAGCUCUGUCUUUUGGGACGAUAAUGACGGUACCAAAGGAGGAAGCCACGGCUAACUACGUGCCAGCAGCCGCGGUAAUACGUAGGUGGCGAGCGUUGUCCGGAUUUACUGGGCGUAAAGGGUGCGUAGGCGGAUGUUUAAGUGAGAUGUGAAAUACCCGGGCUUAACUUGGGUGCUGCAUUUCAAACUGGAUAUCUAGAGUGCAGGAGAGGAGAAUGGAAUUCCUAGUGUAGCGGUGAAAUGCGUAGAGAUUAGGAAGAACACCAGUGGCGAAGGCGAUUCUCUGGACUGUAACUGACGCUGAGGCACGAAAGCGUGGGUAGCAAACAGGAUUAGAUACCCUGGUAGUCCACGCCGUAAACGAUGAGUACUAGGUGUAGGAGGUAUCGACCCCUUCUGUGCCGCAGUAAACACAUUAAGUACUCCGCCUGGGAAGUACGAUCGCAAGAUUAAAACUCUAAAGUGAAUUGACGGGGUCA
rnacentral:rRNA from 1 species